rfam:Schistocephalus solidus strain NST_G2 genome assembly, scaffold: SSLN_contig0007948
GGCCUCGUUACUCAGUUGGCUAGAGCGUUGGCUGUACUAAAGCCUUCCCCUUGCUGGAGUGGGUUCGAAUCCCACCGAGGCCA